UGACCGUGGUCCUGGACAGCGGGGGGUGUUCCAAGGUGGAGGUGAAGGAUGAAGACCUCCGCGGAGGAGGCGCCCCCGGCCGGAGCCGAGGAGGAACUUCAGCUCCUUUGGUUUCUCCUGUAGGCAAGGACUUCAAGCUGACACUAUGAAACUGCCUGCCUUCCAUACCUGUGCCUAGGGGUGGAGCUGGGAUCCUUGGCAGGCUGACUCUCGGAAAAGCAGCCUUCCCAAUUCCAGGAGGAGUGUCCAGGGCUGGGCUCUGCCAAGCUAAGAGCAGCCUCUAGAGGGCCGGACCCAGGGCCCUACGCCAGAGUGACUAAGGACUCCUCCGGGCUCAGCUUCGGUGACCACCGACUUGAAGCCCUCCUGAUGUCCUAGAGCGGCGCCCCGGAGGGGUUACUGUAAGAUCCUUACAUUGAUGCCCAAACCUGGGACGGGGGAUCUCCCCGUCACCCAAGGCAGAACCGGCUCCCAAAUUCUGAGCCCAACUGUUCCUGUCGUAGUCCACUCCUCUGAUCACCUGCCUGACAUCCACCACUGACUCGCGGAUCGGUGAGUUCCCCCAUCCCAUGAGCGCCUGAACCCUAACUCACCAGAAUGAGGGAAUUGACCGUUGAGUGUCCGGCAAUCCCUCCGGGAGUUUUAGGGGUAAAUGCACCCCACUCAGACCCGUCUCUCUAUCAAAGGGUAAUAAGGCCCACUGCCCACCAGUCUCAAGGCAUCACUUUUAUGUGGGACAACUGUAUACCGCUGUCUGCCCCCUGACUGGAAACAGGCACAUGUAUUCUUGUUCUCCUGUUUCCCUAUAAAGACAGUUCCAGGAGAUACAGAAAUACCAAUCCCUCUCAUGACACACAUAAGACCCAAAAGGGCGAUCCAGUUCAUACCUCUCCUCACUACUUUAGGAAUUACAGCAGGCUUGCCAAUGGCUACAGCAGGUUUGACUGCCUCCUCACAUACUAUAAUCCAUUGUCCAAAUCAUUCAUAGAUGACCUCCAGCAGGUGAUUGAGCCCAUACUUACCCUCCAAAAUCAAUUAGAUUUCUUUGCAGCAGUAGUCCUACAAAACCACCAAGGCUUAGAUCUACUCACAGUGGAAAAAGGAGGCCUCUGCCCAUUCUUACAGAAAGAAUGUUGUUUUAUGUUAAUCAGUCAGGGAUAGUGAAAGAUAAGAUUAAAAAACUACAGGAACAACUAGAAAAAAGAAGGCUGCAAUUGGUACAACAAUCCUAUUGGGACCUCUUCACAAACCCCUUAUCUGCUGGAGUCUCCCGAUGCUAGGACCUCUAGUUGGGAUCUUUUUAUUCUGUGUCUUCCUUCUUUGCAUUUUAAAUUCCUUCAAGGACAAAUUAACAAAAUCUCUAACCAAACUUUCAAUCAGUUCCUCCUCAGGGAUUACCAGCUACUUGCCAAUGAGCUGGACAACACUUAUGUCUACUCAUACUGAAAAGCCUCCACCAAGUGCUGAAAGACGAAGAUACCAAAUGACAACUCCACCGAAGGGCCAUCUCUACCCCACCAUUCCAAAGAAAUAAGCCCUUGGUUUUUAGCCAUAUAUGUUCUAACCUGCCUUCUCCUGAGCAUAGGUCUUUUUAUCUACCAGCCCUGGAUGACAUGGAUGACAUGCCAGAAAUUAAUGCUGUCUCUUUUGUUCCUUUUCGUAGCUGCAGAUUUGUGGCUGGCACUGUACCUCUGAUCCUCCUCUUAGUGAAGAUGACACCUGUUACCCUCCGAUGCAUGCAAUUCUUACAAGCCCUAUGGGAAGAUAGUUGGCUUAUCUCUCCCCCUGGGCCACCCCAAUGAAUGGCUCAUUAUAUCCAACAAUUUGUGGUUGCAGGGCACGUUCAUGGACUUCUCCCUGGAGGAAAUCCAUGCUUUCAGCACAUGGAUGUGGGGCCUCCUGGCCCUCCUUCUCCAACCAACUGACCUCCCUCCCUCUAAACAACACCCCUACUCAGCAGGAAGAAGCCAGAACUAGUAUGAUGCCCCCAAACCAAAACAAAAAAGGGAGGAAUGUUGGUAAAGAUGGUGCCCGAAGUGCAUCUCUUCCGGGAGUUCAGGUCCAUGAUGCACUGAAUGGCGUGAACUACCACCUAAGUGGCACAAACCAUCACCUCCAAUCCCUGAAACGGCGCAAACUGUGACCUCCCACCCCUAGGAGACUAAUACCCUGUCCUGCCCAGAAAUGGACCCUUGGUCAAUAAAGAAGUAACAGCCAACUCCCCAUGCUCAUUCUCUCUCUCUCUCCCCCACUUCUUCUCUUCUGUGACCGGCUGCUACGGUCCCACUAAUAAAAUCUUGGACAGGUAAA